GUGAGCGGAAAGACAGCCAACGCAAACUAUGUUUAAUUAACAUAGUUGGUGAGGAAGCUUCGCCCUCCGAACUUUUGAAGAAAAAAUCUUCAAAAGAUCCAUGCGGGUAACUGCACAGCGGAAACGCUGAGCUCUGACACAGAAAAAAACUGCUUAUAGAGUUUAAUGAUGAGUUCGUAAGAAUGAAGUUUCUAUAAGCAGGUGAAAAGUCAACUUGGAUGGAGCAAGCUGUCAUCAGCGCUUAGUCAAAUGCUGUCAUGUCUUUUGAUGAUUUCCUUUAAAAGGAAGGAAAGACAACUAAAGGCGAGCUAUUUCCACUCAC
rnacentral:RNase_P_RNA from 1 species